GGAGGGUGCAAGCGUUAUCCGGAUUCACUGGGUUUAAAGGGUGCGUAGGUGGGUUUGUAAGUCAGUGGUGAAAUCUCCGAGCUUAACUCGGAAACUGCCAUUGAUACUAUAGAUCUUGAAUCAUCUGGAGGUAAGCGGAAUAUGUCAUGUAGCGGUGAAAUGCUUAGAUAUGACAUAGAACACCAAUUGCGAAGGCAGCUUACUACGGGUGUAUGGACACUGAGGCACGAAAGCGUGGGGAUCAAACAGGAUUAGAUACCCUGGUAGUCCACGCCCUAAACGAUGGAUACUCGACAUCAGCGAUACACUGUUGGUGUCUGAGCGAAAGCAUUAAGUAUCCCACCUGGGAAGUACGACCGCAAGGUUG
rnacentral:rRNA from 1 species